UGCUGGGUGCAGCUUGCGAUCAGCAGGCAGUGGGCAGCUCCCUAGAGGACCCUCGAGACAGUCCCACCUGGAGCACUCCAGUGGACAAUGAGAGGGAGGGAGAGCCUCAGAAUGGACUGAAAGUUCCCCAGAGCCUAUUUCACCACCAGGCUUAUCGAAUUUUAAUUUAGUUAACAAGGUUGGACUAUAAGAGGCUGAUCCCGAACCCACUGAAGUCGGCAGCCCUCUUUCCAUUGUCUUUAGUGAGCCUCUGAUCAGAACCUAAGCACACACUUUCUAUGCUCUGCUUCUUAUGUGAAAACAACGUAAUUCCCAGGACAAAUAUUAAAUGAGAUGAGCAUUAAGAAUAUUUAAAUUUCUAAUAAAUGCUCAGAAACCACAAUAUAUUUCUCAAUAGUACUUGUUAUAGUACUAUAACAGCAGUACAAUGGUUAAAUGCUUUUACUGUGUUCUUUAGAUGCUUUAUAUGUAUAUUUCCUUCAUAUAAGCUGCUCCAGCACAUGAAUAGGGUCUUACCUGAAAGAGGACAAUAUAUAUUUAACUUUGGUAAAAUAAAACAAAUAAAUACUCCAUCGUUUGGGGAAUCACACUUACAUAUAAAUGGAAAAAGGAGUCAUUUAAAAAUGCAAGCAUUUUAAAGAUUAAACAAAAAAUGGUAAAUUCUUUUACGGAUGUACCAAUAUAUUCUUCAAAAAGUUAUGCUCUGAGAUCAGAACUCCAAAAAAUAAAUACAGAUAACAAGUAACUUUCAGGUUGUGCCCCAAAAAGACAAAAGCCAGAGACUGUAGUCAAAAAGCUCAAAUGGUCUUUUCCAAGGCCACACUGUUAACCUUAAAUCCAUUUUAAACUUUACUUGGCUUUGUUACUACACUCAAUCAGUCUGAUCUCAGCUGUGAACCAGAUUUGGCAGUUAUUUUUCCCUCUCCUGCCAGAGCAAAGGAACCUCUGCAGAUUUUGUGUGUGCUUUACCUUUGUUCCUGUGCCAUACUAACAAGAAAUACUCCCUACAGAAGGUCUGGCUUAGCAUAGCAUGGAAAUGUGGCACUGGAACAGCAAUAGGGUUGGCAGAUUCUGUCACUUUGGUAAAGAAAGGGCUGAAUAGGAGAAUAUACCGUAUUUAGAAAAUGGGGAGAAUUAUUCUUUCAAACACACGUCCAGCUUUGAGAAAAGUCAGAUUCACUUAUACUGAACAGUUGGACUCGGAAUGUAAAGUAUUCACAGUUGAUCAGACCAAGACAAGGGUUUCUCAAACAUGUCUCAAUGCUCACAAUGAAAUGAGGCACUAGUAGGAAAUUGUUUUAUUUCACUAACUACAAAUUGUCUGUUUUCAUUUUUUUAAAUUUUAAACAGUCAAAAAACAAAACAAAAAAAUUGCAAAGUGCAAACGUGUAAAAACCAAAAAAAGGGGGUGGGAGGGGCAGCCAAAAUUUUCUUUGCUUGGGGUGGCAAAAAACCUAGAGCCAGCCCUGCUGAGCAGGAAGUAUGGCACUUGAGGCCCUCAACAGAUAUGCCCCACUGGGGACCUAGCACCACCAGUAGGCUCCACAGUGGGAGCUAAGGAGUCUCCACCUGGGCUUCCUGCUCCAAUGAAAGAAGCUAUCCUAAAUUCUUCCACUUUCCAAGAAGAGGAAGAAGCAGCUUAUGCUGUUCACUGCACCCCCGGCGCCCACCCAUGCAGAGGAAUGGAAGAAAAACAGUUCUCAGACAUCGCUCUCCCACAGAAGAAGGAUGAAAUUGCUCUUAGUGUGUGGAACAGACUGGCCUGCUACUUCCCAAAAGACAUCUCCUCCUGAGGACUUCCAAUAAGACCACUCCUGCUGCUGGUGAGGGCUGUGGGAUAUCUCCCUGGAUAGAAGCUCUGUGUAUGUAGGUAGACACACAUGGGUGCCCCGGACCCAAUUUUCAAAAGUGCUGAACACCCACAUCUCCCCCUGAAGUCAGUGAGAAUUGUGGGGGCUCAGUAUCUCUGAAAAUCAUAGCUGCAUAGAUUUUAAGGCCAGAUGGGACCAUUAUGAUAAUCUCUUUUGACCUGCGUAAUAGCCCAGGGAAUUUCACCCAUGAUUCUUCCAUUGAGCGCAUGUUGUAACCAGCAACAUGAGUCGAGUUCCUGUUGUAGUGGGGGAAUUUGCUAUGGGGAGGGUAUUUCUUAGGGGUAGUUGUAUGGGUUACUUGGGGUGAGGGUAUUGCCAUUGGGAAAGGUGGGUGAAAUGCGGGAUGAGCAGGAUAGGAUAACGGGGGUGCUGGUGAAUGGGAGGUUGCUCCAGGUCAUCAGAGGAUGAUCAGAGUUUUGGCUGUAGAUGGAAUUUAUUAGGUGAGAGGGAAAUUGAUUAGAGGGCUUCCUCGGGGAUAGGGCAGGGGAAGAGCAGUCAGGGGAAUUGAGCAGGACAUGGAAGGAAGCAGGAGGUGGAGUUUCUGAAGAGUCAGUGAGAAGCGAAAGAGUUAAAUACCAAGAAUAAACAACUCUGGCACUUCCCAGCCUAUAUAAUAGACACUUCUUUAUGAAAAGAAUUACUGUUAACGGCUGCCCAGAAACUGUAUCAGAUCAAAGCUUUUUGAUCUACUGGUGUGUGGGCUAUGUCAAAAUCAAGAUGAAUUUUACAGUUCACAUCACUGUGCUCUUCUUUUGCUUCUCUGCUUUUGCCGGUAAGUCUCCGUAUAUUUUCCUUCCUGUUUCACUGUAUUGCAGGGGGGUAUAUUUUUCAUUUGCUUAGAAACACUGGACCAAAACUCUCAAACUUGGAUGUUGGCAUUAGCUACCUAUAUCUACAGCUGAGCCACUAAAUACAAGUGACCUGAUAUUUCGGGGGUGCUGCAGACUCGCUUAUCUUCUUGAUUUCCAUGGAGUUACUCCUGGUAGUAAGUACAGUACUACAUCCUAUCGCAUCUGGAGGAUCAAGUCCUGAGAGUCAAUGGGCUAAUUCCUACAGUCCUCAGUCUUUCCUCAGCCAAAAGCUGAGCAAACUACAGGAUCUGACCCAAUAUUCUUUUAUUUAACUGUGACCUUUCUACAAGGGGCGGAUGAUCAGUACUUGGAAUUUUAUUACCUAUUUUUGCCCUCUCUUGCAGCUUUUAUUUUAUUAUUUGUUAAGAAGGAGACUGUAUUGUGCUAGGCACUGUAUAAAUACAUAGAGUGAAAUGGUGGCUGCGCUGGAGUCUGCAGUAAAUCUCCCAUUGUCAUGAAUGGGGCCAGGAUUUCACCCAUAAAGGGAUCAUGCUAUUUGCAAGCAGUUCACAGUGUUGGGUGUGAUCUGGGGGUGCACAAGGACUGUGCCUUACAAUGCUCUUGUUUGUGCUGGGGGGGGGAAUUUGUGACAUUCCUUUAAGGGGUGCAGCAUAUUCCAUCCCCCACCCCGCAUAAGCCAGUGCCACGGGCCAGUGUAUGGGGGAGGGAGAGAAAUUAUGGCUUUGUUUGGUCCUUGCCCAGUUUCUGCUAGUGGGGGGAAUUUGGCAUGCAGCCCCAGAAACUGCCCCAGGCACCAGGGCUGUGAGCUAGGUAGCCCUGGCAGAGACUGCCUAAGGGAAACAUUCAUAUUGCCUCGUCCGGUUUGAUGUAGUUCUGCACAGUCCUUUGCCCAUCAUUAAAGACAGUCCCUGCCCCAAAUCUUCCAAUCUAAAUUAAAACAAAUGAUUGUAGCAAACAUACUGAGGGAGGAUGCGGAGCACAUGGUUACAUAGAUUAAUUCUCUGCACAUUUCACUAAAGUUUGAUCAUGGAUGCAUUUUUCACCACUUUAAGAGUAGGUUUUGAUUUCAUAAGAACAAAUUGUAUUUCAGAGGAAGGCACAGGAAGAUAUGAAGGACUAAAUAGAACUGGACAAUUCCCAAGCUAUCCUGUUUGUGUUCAUUACAUCCUCAAACCAAUGUGUAUUUUGUAUUAUCACCCUGUCUGUGGCAGUGAUGGGACAACCUACCGGAACAAGUGUGAGCUCUGCAGUUACUGCAGGGAACAUGGCAAGAAUAUAAAGAUUGUAAAGGAAGGAGCAUGUUAAAGAUUGAAGAUACCACCAUCUGUCUUGUCUUGCACACCCUGGAAUCCUUAAGGCUUAUUAAUAUGUAAUCCUGCCAUGGUGCCAAGGGGCCAACUAGAUUUCCUUUUGAGGUUCCUACAUUCUUAUGACCAUGUUAAUAUUGUACUAAUGCUAUUGUUUUAGUUUGUUUAAAAAAUAAAAUGGUUGU